rnacentral:lncRNA from 1 species
CCCACGUCACGCCCCGCGUUGGUCUCUCCCGAGACCAUCUCUUUCACACACUUUCACACACCUCCCCCGUCCCCGAAACGGUUUGCCUUUCUGACUGACUCAUGAGCCCCACCCAUGUCGGGUGUCAGGGUGUGAGUUUUGUCCGAAUCAAUGGGCCUCUCCCAUUGUCCCAACCCCCUUGGGUUGGACUAGUCAUCAUGCCCUGGGAGGUGAUCAGAGUCCCCUUCCGUCCUUAUGGGACGGGUCUUGCCUUAGGGCCCAAACCUUACCAUGGUUCAUAUGUCUGAGUGCUGCUCCUGUGACUGUCCUGCAACUCCUUUUACCAGUUCCAUUUCUGCUGUCAGGGAGGGCUCCGGAACACGGAAGAGCCACCCGGUGUUCAGCAAACAAAGAAGCCUCCAGGUACCAGAAUCUACCCUUCUUAGAAGGCAGCAG